ensembl:lncRNA
CUUAAGCUCACUGUGCAGCCCAAGGCUGGCCUUGAACUCACAGCCAUCCCCCUGGCUCAGCCUCACAAGUGCUGGGAUCACAGGUGUGUGCCACCCUGCUCAACUUCAUCUCAUCUUGAGAUGUGAGAGAGAGCAGAUUUAGAAUCAGAACUCAUUGCAGAUGGGGAUGGCAGUGCAUGUCUGUAAUCCUAGCACUCUUGAGAGGCUGAGGCAGGAGGAUCAAAACCUUGAGCCCAGCCUGAGAAACUUAGCAAGUCUCUGUCUCAAAAAAAUAAAGAAAAAAGGUCUGGGAACAUAACUUAUAGAGGCCCUGGAUUCAAUCCCUAGUACCACAAAGAGGAAAAAAUGCUUAGUGCUAAAUGGUCCUGUUUUCUAAAUAUUGCUGGUUUUUUUUCAAAAAAGUAUUCCAUAUGUACACAUCUUUUGAACUUAGCUUCUCUAAAAUGUCCAUUUUAAUGGCCCAUAGGUUUUGUUAUUUUUUUAGACCAUGUCACUAGCCUGGAACUUGAGACAGUGUAACCCAGUUUGGCCUCAACUCACCAUCCUCCUACCUCAGCCUCCAGAGUGCAGGGAUUACAGGCAUCAGCCACCACGCCCAGCUACAGGUUAAUGAUUUUAGAAAGUAAGGGUUUUUUCUAAAAUAAAGGAUAUCUACCUGAUACUGUGUGUCUAAAAAUCAACAAAUGUGAAGUAUUAAGAGCUAUCUGUAGCAUUGUUUACAAUGCUAGAGAUAUGAUGGGAAUGUUUAGCCCACAGAGGGAAACACAGACCAAGCUCUGUGGGUAACAGUCUGUUAAACUUCCACAGAGCUCUCCAUUUGGGACAGUGUAAUGGUCAUGCUAUCAUUUAUUGUAUGUUUAAGAAUAUUUAUCAUAGGCAGUCAGUAAUUGUUCUGAUUGGUCUGAAAGAAUAUGCAGAAAAUUGUUAGUGUUUGGUUUUAUUUUGAACCUAGUUUAACAAGUUUCAGUGUUUGGCUCAAAAUGCGGGCUUUUUCUGAAAACUAAACAUCUUAACAGGAUUUUUAUGUAAAUAUAUUUGUUUAAGUCGGUUAGAGCAGUUUUUAAAUAGGCAGAGAUCAAAAGCCUUUCGUGUUUUUAUCAUCUGCCAGUAUUAUUACCCAUUCAGAUUUCUAUUUAUAGUGUGGUAAUUUGUGUCCACUGUGAGCACUAAUUUCAGAAAAGGAAACUAUUACUGUCAUGUUUUAAUGUGUAAUGCGUUGGGCUUGGGCAGAGGGGAGUAGAAUGAGUAAAUACUAUAAUAAACCAGGUCUCUGCUGGCAAGUUGUUUAAUGAGUCAUUGGUGGAAAGGAUCAGUCAAACUAUCAAAUCUAAUAAAUCAUAUCUAAACAUAGUCUAUUACCCAUAUUAGAGCAAGUGACUGGUAUUAGAAAUUUUACUAUUUGCUUUAAAAUUCAGGAACUAAAGUUGGGGUGUCAUGGCACACCCCUGUAACCUCCACCUUUGGGAGGUUGAGGCAGAAAAAUGAUAAGUUUUGAGGCCACCCUGUCUCAAAAAAAUCAGUCAAUUCGUAAACUGUUUGAUUCAUAUUCCUAUUAGAUUUAGUUGACUAUUAAGAGGUCAGUGUUAAUUCAUAGAUUCAUAAGCAGAUUAACCAGUGAUGAGAACUACAUGGCAGGCAGAAAGAAAAAGAAUUUUUGCAUCCUGGAAAUGGAGUACAAUCAGAUGGGUCUUGAAUAGAUUGGGUAGUUACCAGGAAGCCGUCUGCUGUACUAAAUAGGAAUAAUAAAAUCAACAGAUUUGACAGCUGUGUGAAAAGUAGCCCAGGAAGGUAGAGCUAGCAUUAACCCACCCAGUCUUAUAGGGUGUUUGGUCAGUAAGCGUGAAGUGGUCAGGAUUAUAGCUGUGGUGAGACUGGAAAUCCAAGAAAGUGCAAAGAAAUAAUUGGAGAAUUGGUCAAUAGCUUCUGCCUCAGCUUCCUAGAAUACUAGGAUUACAGGUGUGCACCACCACUCCCAGCUUUUAGUAGAAUAUCUUAAUGGAUAUCUUCUGUAGAUAGCCAAAUGUAAACAGUUUCCCUUCCCUGAGAGUUACUGAUUUGACAGGAGGCAAUUUGAAGCCAUGAGUGUAAGUGAAAUUAUUUUCCUUAGAAUUAAACAUGAAGGAAAAAAAUGGACAACCUGGUGUAAAGUGGCUUGGGAAGGGAAGAAGGAUUGGAUUACAAGAGUCCUAUUACUGAAAAAGGGGCACAUAAGGCAAAUACCUGUAUAGCAGUUGAGAAUACUGCAUCCUGAUGGCAAAGAACAAGGUGCCAUUGUUUCUUUAUACUUGUCCUGUGCUAUAACCAGCAAUCAUUUCAUUCUCUAAAUGUCAUAAUUUAUGCCUUUUUAUAUACCUAUUGAUGGAGAGGUGGCUAACAAUCUAAGGAUAGGACAAUUUUGGAAAUAAGAUCUAAUUAGUACCAGGCCUGUGUGUAGCUAUAUAGCAACUAAGUGUUUCAGAGCCAGUGGUGGCAAACUUCUAUUCAAAUUCAGCUGCACCAGGGCCACAAAUCAGCUCCCAAAUGUAUAUCUGCAAUAUUUUCCUGUAUACUUCAACAAUGUAAACAUUUUUUCUCUCAUUUUUAAAUGGCUUUUUAGUACUUUACCCAAAAUGUUGGAGAUAAAUUCUUACUGCUUAUUAACUGGGUUCUCCUAUUGAUCUAUUUCGUAUUAUUUUCUGGAAAAAAAAGUUACUGUUAAACAUUUGUAUUGGUUUCCCAGGACUGUGUUAAAAAAUUUAAUAUUCUUAAAGUAACAGAAAUGUACUCAGUUCUGGAGGCUGAAAAUCCAAAAUCAAAAUUUCAUCAGGCAAGCUCCCUCAUCAGGGCUCUAGAAGAGAAUCCAUUCCUCAGCAUUAUACCCAUCAUUCCAGGCUGCCUCCAUCUGAACAUCUCUGUGUGGCUGAUACCCUCUUCUCUUUUACAAGGACAUCUGUGACGGCAUUUAGAGCAAACCUGAAUAAUUUAGGAUUAUUUCAGCUCAAGAUCCUUAACCACAUCUGCAAAGAUCCUUUCCUCAAAUGAACGUAACGUUCAUAAACUUGGGAAUUGGGGUAUGGACGUACCUUUGGGAGCCACUACAGCCUUCCACACAGUUUCAGUAACUUACUGUAACAAAGACCUGUGUGAAUCUGCUCCAGGAUAACCUAAAACAUUCUAACCUGAAGCCACAGUUCUCUCUAGAGAGAUUCUGAGCACCUGAGAAGAUCCUCUGCAGAGUUUCUUUCAAAAGAAGCCCAGGAUCAGAUAUCCAGAGAGCUUGCCUCCAACUCAAUCCUCAUUUUUAAUCAGACAUUUGUAAUCCAUAUUAGAAGAAAAAUCUAUGAGACCAAAUGGUGUGUGUUUACAUUUUACCUCUGCAGUGAACUGAAUGUUUCAUUUAUUGCUUAGGUUUUGUUGCCUUUUUAGAAGUAAGAAGAAUAGGUAGACACAGAAUCAAAUGAUUAAAAACUCAUCUGGUUGAAGUGAGUUACAUUGACUGCUAGAGCAAGUUAGGAUUAAUUCAGCUUGAGUUUUGGGGGGAUUCUAUGUACAUCUAACAUUAUGUGUGGGAUUUCUACCUUGUAAUAAAUUCUCAAAAAUAAGUUUUGGAAGCCAGGUGUCAAGGUGACACAUGCUUGGAAUCCCAGAGAUACGGGAAACCGAGCCAGAAGGAACAAAAAUUUGAGCCCAGACUGGGUAAUUUAACAAGACCUUGUCUCAAAAUAAAUGAAAAAGUGUUGGGAAUAUAACUAUAUAGUAACUCCCCCAUAACUUUGAUCCCCAAUACCAUUAAAAUUUUUUAAUUAAAAAAAAUUUGACAUCCAGAUAACUUGUGUAUCUAUUGUUUGAAGAAAUGAUGCAAGGAGAUUUUUAAUCUGUGGUGCAUAUGUUAAGGUAUAACCUCUUAGAGAUUACAGUUGAUUUAGUCAUUUUUAGAGCUACUGUUGAAAUGUUCAUAUUUCAUUGAUUCCUUUGGAUUUUCUGGCUUCAAUAAAGUAUGAUUUGGAUCAUGCAAGAUUGUGCUGGAAGACUCAGAGUUGGGCCAGGGGGUGGUUUGAGACAUUGUUCACUAUAGUUAGGCUGGCCUUGAACCCACUGUGUACCCCAGGCUGGCCUUGAGCUCCUGGUGAUCCUCCCUCCUCAGCCUCCUGAGUGCUGGGAUUAUAGGUGUGUACCACCACAGGUGGCAUUUUGUUUUGUUUGCAGUAUUGGUAAUUGAACCUGGGGCCUUCACAUUGAACUGCAUCCCCAGCCCCUUUAAAAAAAUUUUUUUUUAAAUUUUGAGAUAGAUCUUGAGUAAGUUACUAAGUUGCCCAGGUUGGACUCAAACUGAUCCCUCCUCCCUCAGCCUCUCAGUGUGGCAUUAUAGGUGUAUACUACCAUGCCUGGCUGAGAAACAAAAAUUCUUUAGGGGCCUUCCAAAUUUCUCCUUUUUGUAUUGUGCAAUUGAUGAAUGCACCUGGCUUAGAAUUUAUUGAAUUAGACAAAAAGCCAAUAAUGCUUCCUGAAAUACAUCUUGAGCUCUUGGUAGAAGCUGAACCAUCUUGUUUAUUUAGCAAACACCUAAUGUUUCUCAGUUUUUCAGAAAUGGAAUAUUAUUUGCCACUACCAUUAAUUUCAUUUGUCCAAUACUUAGAGGAUGUCACUAAAGGCGAAAGUGGCUCCUACUACCUUUUUCCCCCAUCCACUCUGAACCCCAGUGCGAUAUUCUCGUGGUCAGGGCAUUCACUCCCCAACAGGAUCUGGCUAAUGACAGAAGCAGAAUUAAUGAUUUGGUUGUCCUGAACUCUCAACAAAGUCAUUCAAAGGAGAGUAAAGAGGACAGCUCUCAGAAUGGCAACAGGAUAGCUAUAAAAUGCCAAGCAUUCUGUGCUUUGCCCUGCAAAGUGAAGACAUUUUAAAGUGCCACCUCUUGCACCACUGUCCAUCAGAAUUUCCCCCAAGGAAAUUGCAAAGUUAGGGCAUAGGGUUUUUUCUUAGCUCAGUUAUUCCUGAAACUCAGGAGCAGUGGCAUUAGUCACAAUUAGCUCAACUGCUUUAUUUCACUUUUAAAAAGAAGAAAAGCAAAAGUGCAGCAGUGGAGAAAGAAAAAACACAAAGGGGUGAAGAGUCACAUCAAUAACAAGUGAAAAAAUUUUUUUAAAAUAGGUUUUUAAGGCUAUAUGUCAUGUAAAGUGUAAAUAUAUAGGGGAUGAUGUACAGUAAUAAAAAUUACUGGGCUAGCAGUAAUGAUUUGAAUUACUACUUCUUAACAUUGUUAUGGGAUCUUCAAUUAAAAAUAAAUUGCUUUAGGGCCAGGGAUUUAGCUCAGUGGUUCCACCGCCUGCCUUGCAACCGUAAGGUCCCGUGUUCGAUACCCUGUACCAAAAAAACAACUUUGCUUUAAAAAUGAUGAAGUCAUCCUUAUUUCAUAUUUAAUCAGGAGGGAGAAAGUCAUUUAAAAAGCUAAAGGAGCCAGGCUUGGUAGUGCAUGCCUGUAAUCCCAGUACUCAGAGGCUGAGGCAGGAAGGUUACAAGUUCAAAUGAGAGACCUUGUUUGAAAAAAUUUUUUAAAUAUAAAGGCUGAGGAUGUAAGUCAGUGCAAACGCCUUAGGUCCAAUCACCACCACCACCACCGAAAAAAAAGAAAAAAGGAAUUUAAUUUUAUUACCUGAAAUAGUCUUUGUAAACAGCUAAAGAAACUUCAAGUUGAUCUUGUGAAGGACAGAAGCAGAAGGACUCCCCUAGAAUGGUAGGCUUUUCCUAAAGAUUAAACUUGAUCACAUUAAUUUACAAAUAAGCCAGAAAUAAGGUUUUGAAACACAGAUUUACCUAAUGCCCUUUUUCAGCAGAUUCAAGCUUCCAAGCAAGUUUCAAAGGCAACAUUCGUGACAGUUUUUUAGCAUUCUAUUGCAUUGUUGAUGCUUACAUUCCAUCAUUUUAUGCUUUUAAAUGCACUUCUAUUUAUAAAAGCUGCAUAGUUUGCUCUUACAUGUCAAAAUGUUUAUAGCUUAAAAUGUAUUCAGAGUAUUUUAAAAAUCAGUUACUGCUCUUGAUUUAUGAACUAAAUACAGUAUACUGCAUUUUCCAGUCAUUAAAAUAACACCUUAAGGAUUUAUUUAUUCCUUUUUGGUGUGAUGCUGGAGAUCGAACCUAGGGCCUCUUGCAUGGGAUACACUCUACCACUGAGCUAUGUCCCCAGCUCCUAACAAUAUAUUUUAAAAAUAUAGAUCCUCUAGAAGAUAAUUGCUUGCAGACAAAGCGAACUGUACUUAUGUGGUAACUAAUUGUUUAUGUUUUAAAUUACUAUUUCUCAAAAAGUUGUUACUGGUAGCCAGGUGUGGUAGCGCAUGCCUAUAUUCCACCACUCUGGGAGGCUAAGGCAGGAGGAUUACAUGUUCAAGCCCAGCCUAGGCAACUUAGUGACUUAGCCAGACCCUAUCUCAAAACAUAAAUAUGGGGGGAGGGAUUUAUCUCAGUGGUGCCUUGAUUGCCUGGCAAGUGCAAGGUCCUGAGUUCAGUCCCUGGUACCAAAAAAAAAAAAAAUUUUUCCCCAGUACGAGGGAUCAAACUCAGGUCAAAACAGAAUUUUAAAAAGAACUGGGGAUGUAGCUUAAUGUGAAGGCCUUGGAUUUAAUUUUCAGUACCAGAAAGAAAAAAAAAAUCAUUUGUGGCACUAGCCUGUAACUCCAGCCCUGGCCAAUUCCUAGUUGCGGGCUGGGGCGGGG